AGGACGAACGCUGGCGGCGUGCUUAACACAUGCAAGUCGAGCGGAAAGGCCCUUCGGGGUACUCGAGCGGCGAACGGGUGAGUAACACGUGAGCAACCUGCCCUUGGCUCUGGGAUAGCCUCCGGAAACGGGGAUUAAUACCGGACAUUCACUUUCUCCUGCAUGGGGGUUGGUGGAAAGUUUUUCGGCCAGGGAGGGGCUCGCGGCCUAUCAGCUUGUUGGCGGGGUAACGGCCCACCAAGGCGACGACGGGUAGCCGGCCUGAGAGGGCGAUCGGCCACACUGGGACUGAGACACGGCCCAGACUCCUACGGGAGGCAGCAGUGGGGAAUAUUGCACAAUGGGCGCAAGCCUGAUGCAGCGACGCCGCGUGGGGGAUGAAGGCCUUCGGGUUGUAAACCCCUUUCACCAGGAGCGAAUUCAGACGGUACCCGGGGAAGAAGCGCCGGCUAACUACGUGCCAGCAGCCGC
rnacentral:rRNA from 1 species